rnacentral:ncRNA from 1 species
GUCCUAGGAUCAGCGCACGGUGUCGCGUAACAGCGACUUAAAAGGGAACCAAGUGAAACGCUUGGACUGCCCCCGCAACUGUAAGCGGCGAGCGCGCGGGAAACACCACUGGCCACCCGGCUGGGAAGGUCCCAAGCGCCCCGACCCGCAAGUCAGGAGACCUGCCGUAAAACCACAGGGCCUA